rnacentral:piRNA from 1 species
AUGUUAUGCGCCUCACGAGCAAUCGCCAC